UAGCCUAAAGAUUAAGGCUAUGGAUCGCCAAUCCAGAGACGGCGGGUUCGAUUCCCGU
rnacentral:tRNA from 1 species